rnacentral:rRNA from 1 species
CCUACGGGCGGCAGCAGUAGGGAAUUUUCGUCAAUGGGCGCAAGCCUGAACGAGCAAUGCCGCGUGAACGAGGAAGGUCUUCGGAUCGUAAAGUUCUGUUGAAGGGGAAAAAGAGCGGAGAGAGGAAAUGGUCUCCGAUUGAUAUUACCCUUCGAGGAAGUCACGGCUAACUACGUGCCAGCAGCCGCGGUAAUACGGAGGUGGCGAGCGUUAGCCGGAAUGAUUGGGCGUAAAGGGUGCGUAGGCGGCCUGCUAAGUCUGGAGUGAAAGGUACCGGCUCAACCGGUACAGGCUCUGGAAACUGGCGGGCUAGAGAGCAGGAGAGGGCGGUGGAACUCCAUGUGUAGCGGUAAAAUGCGUAGAUAUAUGGAAGAACACCAGUGGCGAAGGCGGCCGCCUGGCCUGUUACUGACGCUGAGGCACGAAAGCGUGGGGAGCAAAUAGGAUUAGAUACCCGGGUAGUC